CAACUAUAGACAGAAACACGGCGAGUGGACUGAUCUUCUUCAUUCUUCUGCGAAACUUCUCGAACCAUCUGCCCAGUUCCCUGCCUUGCCUUACAGAGAAACUUAGAUCUAUUAGAAACGUUAUCAAAGAAGCUUAAAUGUACCAACUGAAGUUCCUGCAGAAUCUGCCACCAGGCUGUUAGCGCGCCGAACAACUUGCACGCGAUCUCAAGUCUUUUGAGUUAAAGACAAAAUUUGAGGAUGUCUUCCCCGCUGAGGCAACAAGUGUCGAAGAGUAUUUGCAGCAGGUUCAUGAAAUGACCAUGCUCACAGCUAUUCAGGAGGCUCAGAAGGAUAACGUUAGAAGCUUUAAUGAUUACAUGGUGCAAGUUUUGGAGGACUGGCAAAAGGAAAAGUGGGAUUUUCUUCAAGGCUUGAGUCGGCUUUCUACACUUCCCAGAGCAAGCGGUAGUGUAGGCACAGUGAUUAAUCGUCCUGGUGAAAUGGCUUCCAUUACUUCUAGUCCAGGGGUUUUUACUGGUACCAGGCAUGCUCGUACCUUCAGCAAAUAAUAAGCCUACCCUCGGAAUGAAGGCUUCUAUAUAUGCUGAGGUUGUUAGGAUACUAAAUGACGCAAGAGAAUGAGCCUUUCCAGUUGAGCUUUAUUUCUUCUAGUAUUCAUCAGGUAUUAUAUCCAACUUAUUAUGGAUUGGGUAUGGGUGCGUGCAGUCUUAACAACCAGUUGGACUUUCGCACCCAUUAUAUUAUGGAUACUUAUGAAAAAAAAAGGUGAAUGUAAGUAUUUUUAAUAGCCCCACUAUCUUCAUAAGGGCUUGAGUUUGAGAGGUAAAUCCAAGCCCUUGAGUUUUCUUGAUCAGUCACUAAUCACUAAUCAAGUCAUUUUUGUUUCGUUAUGCAAGGUUCUAAUUAUAAAAGAAAUCCAUUGAUUCAUUCUCAUCCAAUCCGUCCAUCCAUUUGAUGUUGGAUUGAAUGUGGAUGUCAAAUGUGAAAUCCAUCUUGUAUUGGAUGAGGCAAAAAUUGGCCCCUCCGGACCAUACUUAGUGUAGGGGUUUUUGAGUUGGUUGAUCACCUUAUUCUUCCUUUUGGUUUUGGGUUUGUUGAACUUUGCUGAUUUCCUUGCUUUUCAACAUAGUGUUAUAAUUUCCAAUAAAUUAAAGAGAUCAAGCCCCAACAAUCAUCUGUAACCCCAGCACGGGCAUCAGACCGAGCAAGCAACGCAACCAGGCUUUACUGAUGAAGAAAGUUUGGCAAGUUCAGGCAGAUGAGGAAUCAAUAUGGGCCACCAUGAGCAGAGACAAGUAUCUAAAUGGACACAAGCUUCUCUCAGGGCCCAUACAAAAACCAAAGGCAUCGACAAGCCCGCUGUGAAAAAGUUUAACUAACCAAGCUUCUUUUUUGCAGGAACACAGUUUCUCAAGAAUUGAGAAUGGCCAACAUACAUCAAUCUUACAAAACUGGAUAACGCACCAAUCCAACCAUCUCAUACACCCACCCCACCCAAAAUCCAAGUAUCAGCUCUCAUAGACAAUGAAACAAAUACUUGGAACCUUAGAACUACUACACAACAUGUUCCACACCAACACAGUCCAACACAUCAGCAACAUUCACUUACCAAAAUAUCCAGUUGGUACCAUCAUUUGGCCACACUCAAAAAAUGGAGAAUAUACCUGCAAAUCAGGAUACAACCUUCUCAUCACACAACAGCAAGCCAAACCCAACAACAUCCAAAACACCCUAUCAAACCAAA